GCGACUGUAGUUCAAUUGGUAGAGCGUCAGAUUUCCAAUCUGAAUGUUGCGGGAUCAUACCCCGUCAGUCGCUCCA
rnacentral:tRNA from 1 species